rnacentral:rRNA from 1 species
UACGAAGGGGGCUAGCGUUGCUCGGAAUUACUGGGCGUAAAGCGCCCGUAGGCGGCCUGACAAGUUGGACGUGAAAGCUCCUGGCUUAACUGGGAGAGGCCGUUCAAAACUGUCAAGCUAGAGUCUGGAAGAGGAGAGCGGAAUUCCCGGUGUAGUGGUGGAAUGCGUAGAGAUCGGGAGGAACACCAGUGGCGAAAGCGGCUCUCUGGUCCAAAACUGACGCUGAGGGGCGAAAGCGUGGGGAGCGAACGGG